UGCCAGCCGCCGCGGUAAUACGGAGGGGGUUAGCGUUGUUCGGAAUUACUGGGCGUAAAGCGCGCGUAGGCGGAUUGGAAAGUUAGAGGUGAAAUCCCAGGGCUCAACCCUGGAACUGCCUUUAAAACUCCCAGUCUUGAGUUCGAGAGAGGUGAGUGGAAUUCCAGGUGUAGCGGUGGAAUGCGUAGAUAUCUGGAAGAACACCUGUGGCGAAGGCGGCUAGCUGGGCCGAGUCUGACACUCAUCCGCGAAAGCGUGGGGAGCAAACAGGAUUAGAUA
rnacentral:rRNA from 1 species